rnacentral:rRNA from 1 species
UGGAUCUUAGUGGCGAACGGGUGAGUAACGCGUAGGCAAUCUGCCUUCUAGAUGGGGACAACAUCCCGAAAGGGGUGCUAAUACCGAAUGUUGUAGUUGGUUCGCAUGGACUAGCUACUAAAGGUGGCCUCUGAAUAUGCUACCGCUAGAAGAUGAGCCUGCGUCUGAUUAGCUAGUUGGAGGGGUAACGGCCCACCAAGGCUUCGAUCAGUAGCCGGUCUGAGAGGAUGAACGGCCACACUGGGACUGAGACACGGCCCAGACUCCUACGGGAGGCAGCAGUGGGGAAUCUUCCGCAAUGGACGAAAGUCUGACGGAGCAACGCCGCGUGAGUGAAGAAGGUUUUCGGAUCGUAAAGCUCUUUCGUUAGGGACGAACGUGCUCUUUGUGAAUAAUGAGGAGUAAUGACGG